rnacentral:lncRNA from 1 species
UCAAAUAUUGUCAGCUCCUUGGUAUGAACCAAUCAUUCAUUUUCUCUCCAAAAGUCUUAGAGCUGGAACAGUGAGAAAAGUCAUGAGCUCAACCCUGAAGUGGAGAAGAGGCACAUUCUUUGUUUUUCACCAGCCACAAGGCUACAGCAAGAGUAUCUCCCUUUACCUGCCUGGAUGGGAACCCAGGGGACUGGUGCCAGAAGUCUGUGG